GGAGAUGUGGCCAAGUGGUUCAAGGCAUAGCAUUGGAACUGCUAUGAGGCUUUUUGUUUACCGAGGGUUCAAAUCCUCUCUUUCCG